rnacentral:rRNA from 1 species
UACAGAGGAUGCAAGCGUUAUCCGGAAUGAUUGGGCGUAAAGCGUCUGUAGGUGGCUUUUUAAGUCCGCCGUCAAAUCCCAGGGCUCAACUCUGGACAGGCGGUGGAAACUACCAAGCUGGAGUACGGUAGGGGCAGAGGGAAUUUCCGGUGGAGCGGUGAAAUGCGUAGAGAUCGGAAAGAACACCAACGGCGAAAGCAGCGCCCUGGCCGCCAUCUGACGCUCAGGCACGAAAGCUGGGGGAGCGAACAGG